rnacentral:lncRNA from 13 species
CCCAACAUCUCCUCCAGUCAACCUCUCCUCCNNNNNNNNNNCAACCUAUCCUCCACCCAACCUCUCCUCCAGUCAACCUCUCCUCCACCCAACCUCUCCUCCAGUCAACCUAUCCUCCACCCAACCUCUCCACCCAACCUCUCCUCCAGUCAACCUAUCCUCCACCCAGCCUCUCCUCCACCCAACCUCUCCUCCGGUCAGCCUGACAUCACAUAUGGAUCACCCAAAAUUCAAGGAUCCAUUCUCUCUAGAAAUCACACUCCCACUGGGCCAGAAUCACCUUUAUCAUCCUCGGUACAAGGCCUGAUCUCAGCGGUCCUCAGCACAGGUACUUCAUCCUCACUCUCACCAGGUUCCGUCACUGAACUACUGGAGCAUGUAUCCCUCUUUUUGCACUUCACGCACACAUUCUUCACCUCACUAUCUCGCUCUACACUCAACUUCUUCUCAGCAGUCAUCACUGAACCUGCCAACACACUUAAUUCAUCCUCACUCGUCACAUUCANNNNNNNNNNCAACCUAUCCUCCACCCAACCUCUCCUCCAGUCAACCUCUCCUCCACCCAACCUCUCCUCCAGUCAACCUAUCCUCCACCCAACCUCUCCACCCAACCUCUCCUCCAGUCAACCUAUCCUCCACCCAGCCUCUCCUCCACCCAACCUCUCCUCCGGUCAGCCUGACAUCACAUAUGGAUCACCCAAAAUUCAAGGAUCCAUUCUCUCUAGAAAUCACACUCCCACUGGGCCAGAAUCACCUUUAUCAUCCUCGGUACAAGGCCUGAUCUCAGCGGUCCUCAGCACAGGUACUUCAUCCUCACUCUCACCAGGUUCCGUCACUGAACUACUGGAGCAUGUAUCCCUCUUUUUGCACUUCACGCACACAUUCUUCACCUCACUAUCUCGCUCUACACUCAACUUCUUCUCAGCAGUCAUCACUGAACCUGCCAACACACUUAAUUCAUCCUCACUCGUCACAUUCAAUUUCCUCCUCAAGCUCUUCCAAAAGUUCUGUGAGAUCCUCCAUUCCAUAUUCACUCAAAACAUGUUCCACUUUUCUCCUUUUUUACUUGUCCUCCAUCUUGUCCUUCACCAGAUCUCCCAGAAAGCUGGUGCAACGCCCAAUAAAAAUGUAUUCAGAAUUGGUUCCACUUUCUUCUUUUUUUUCUUGUCUGCCAUCUUACUGCAUGUGUGUGUGUGUUUAUAA